AACGCACCUUGCGCCCUUUGGUAUUCCGAAGGGCAUGCCUGUUUGAGUAUCAUGAACACCUCAACUCUUCAUGGUUUUCCAUGAUGAGCUUGGACUUUGGGGGUCUUGCUGGCCUGCGGUCGGCUCCUCUCAAACAAAUCAGCUUGCCAGUGUUUGGUGGGCAUCACGGGUGUGAUAACUAUCUACGCUUGUGGUCUUCCACCAGGUAACCUUCAGCAGUGGAGGUUCGCUGGAGCUCACAGAUGUCUCUCCUCAGUGAGGACAGCCCUUUGAAUGUUUGAUCUCAAAUCAGGUAGGACUACCCGCUGAACUUAA
rnacentral:misc_RNA from 1 species